rnacentral:rRNA from 1 species
GGUCAAGCGAAUAAGAGCAUGUGGUGGGUGCCUUGGCAAUGAUAGGCGACGAAGGACGUGAUAGCCUGCGAUAAGCUUCGGGGAGCUGGCAAAUGAGCUUUGAUCCGGAGAUUU